UUGCAAUGAUGUAUCUGAAUUUCUUCACCUGACAAAUCAUGAAGAUUAAAUAACGAGCUUUUUAACCCUGAGCAAU